rnacentral:lncRNA from 1 species
AACUUGCCUUCAAAAUCCCAUUCGGUGAAAUUUGGCAUUCUUUUUCCAUCCAGUCACUAAGGAACAUUAUGUGUUAUGGUUACGUUACGGUCGUAUACAAUUCAAGAUGCUUAGGUUUGAUUUAUUGGUGUCUAAUAAUCUGCAAUCUGAAGCAGGCUGGAAAGAGUUUUCCUGUGUCGCACCCCUUUUUUUAUCUUGGAUCUCCUAUAAUAGAAAAGGAUGCUAUUUUGGAUGAUUGAAGAAUAUUAUCUUUUCCCAUCUGAUUCUCACAAAAGGAUUCCUGCUUGCGAGAAGUGUAUGAUGAUGUUUGACAUAAAAAAUGCGAAAAUUGAUUUGAUAUCUCAUCCGGGAGAAAAAUGUGGUAACAAGGUUUUUAAAAGACAUAACGACAUGUACGUCUUUGAAAUGGAAGGCCAUGUGUCGUUCUUUCUAGGGAUCGUACAAGGACAACAAUGUAUACAUGGAUUUUAGGAGAUGACAAUUAUUCUUGAUAUGAAUCGUGGCAUUGGUCCGGAAACGAAUGUAGUACCUGUUGGCACACCAAAUGGGGAAUUGAUAAUAAUUUUGAGUUGGUCAAAAGUGUUUGCAACGUACCAUAAGAAUGCUAGAGUGGGAGGGCAGCAAGGAGUUGGUGUUGAGUUGUUCCACAUCGAAGGGAUUUGAGGUCCUUGGUCUUCUUAUAUGGCUUGGGCAAUCCCCACCUCAUAAGCUAGCUUUUGGGUUGAGUUAGGCCCAAGGUCCAUUCUUAUUAUGGUAUCAGAGUCAGGCACAUCUCAAUUAUUGUUAUCGAUGUUGGGCCCCCAUUUAUGUUGUCCACGC